UAGCUCUAUUAACAAUUAAAU
rnacentral:miRNA from 1 species